GAUGAACGCUGGCGGCGUGCCUAAUACAUGCAAGUCGAGCGAACGGACGAGAAGCUUGCUUCUCUGAUGUUAGCGGCGGACGGGUGAGUAACACGUGGAUAACCUACCUAUAAGACUGGGAUAACUUCGGGAAACCGUAGCUAAUACCGGAUAAUAUUUUGAACCGCAUGGUUCAAAAGUGAAAGACGGUCUUGCUGUCACUUAUAGAUGGAUCCGCACUGCAUUAGCUAGUUGGUAAGGUAACGGCUUACCAAGGCAACGAUGCAUAGCCGACCUGAGAGGGUGAUCGGCCACACUGGAACUGAGACACGGUCCAGACUCCUACGGGAGGCAGCAGUAGGGAAUCUUCCGCAAAGGGCGAAAGCCUGACGGAGCAACGCCGCGUGAGUGAUGAAGGUCUUCGGAUCGUAAAACUCUGUUAUUAGGGAAGAACAUAUGUGUAAGUAACUGUGCACAUCUUGACGGUACCUAAUCAGAAAGCCACGGCUAACUACGUG
rnacentral:rRNA from 1 species